CACGUAGGGGGCAAGCGUUGUCCGGAUUUAUUGGGCGUAAAGAGCUCGUAGGCGGCUUAGUAAGUCGGGUGUGAAACCUCCAGGCUCAACCUGGAGACGCCACCCGAUACUGCUGUGGCUAGAGUCCGGUAGGGGAGCGUGGAAUUCCUGGUGUAGCGGUGAAAUGCGCAGAUAUCAGGAGGAACACCAGCGGCGAAGGCGGCGCUCUGGGCCGGUACUGACGCUGAGACGCGAAAGCGUGGGGAGCGAACAGG
rnacentral:rRNA from 1 species